rnacentral:misc_RNA from 1 species
AAGUCGUAACAAGGUCUCCGUAGGUGAACCUGCGGAGGGAUCAUUAACACGUAUCCACGUAUCAACCAACGCGCACUUGGGACUGUCUAGUCCUAGCUAACCUAGUGAAUGAAAGCUGUGAUAUUGAAAAUCGUGUAGUGGGUACUGUUCAAAUUGGAUUGCGAGUCGAUGGAGAAUUUGUCUGUGAAAGACCAGCCUCAGGAUACCAUCGAUAAACUUUCUCAUGAGUUCAAUAGGAUUUUCUCAUACACUUGAGGGUUAAACCUCGAGGCUUUCUUUGCUAGGCAUUUUUUCAUUUUAUCACUACGAAAUACAAACCAAUUUCACCCUUUAUAACAAGUUGACUGAUUUCAUUCAAUAGAGAGAAAUCUCGGUUGAAUAUAGAUAUUCUAACUAAAGCACAACUCUUAGCAACGGAUAUCUUGGUUCUC